UUGGUCUACAUUAUAAAUAUUAAAAAAAAGUUUUUCUUCCUUCACGAGGAAAUCCAUUUAAACAGAUGGAUGUUUAAAAAGCUUUUAAAAAUAAGCCUGGCUGUCUUGUCUGGCCUUCCUCAGCUGCAUUCGCGUCCAGCAGCACCUGUCAGUGAGCUUGAGAAAAGGCCCCGAGGCGGGUCCUCCCUGAGUGGAGCCGCUGCCUGUCUGCGGUUGGGAUGAAGCCGCGCAACGCAGGUGGGCACCGGAAUCAGACCCAGAGCUGCCUGCCAUUCAGGAUGCACUCACCGAGGCUGUCUACGCUGUGAUUGAAUUAUAUUCAAUGAAACCUAAACGGGAACUGCUGCAUUCCGCUGCUUCACGCGUGGAGAGCCACAAAGAAGAUACGUGACAACUCUGAAGUAACUGGGACAUUCCAAAUCAUCACCUUCAUACCCUCAGCUCACUGCCAUCAAGGCCAUGCCGCUCCCAGGGACUGGCUCUCUGGGUUUCUUUACAGGCACAGAAAGGCCCCCACCGCCUGUAUUCUCGAUUUCCCACUAGGCUGCACACGCCUCUUAUCCCCAGGACGUGUGUAGCCGCAGCGCUCAUGCUCAAUCCACUUCUCAAAUAAACAGCGGACAGGUUUCAUAAUCA